GCCUGGGUGGCUCAGUUGGUUGAGCAUCCGACUUCGGCUCAGGUUACCAUCUCGCGGUCCGUGAGUUCGAGUCCCGUGUCAGGCU
rnacentral:tRNA from 1 species